AUACAAGGUGCUGUAAGCAU
rnacentral:rRNA from 1 species